rnacentral:rRNA from 1 species
UACGUAGGAGGCAAGCGUUGUCCGGAAUUACUGGGCGUAAAGCGUGCGCAGGCGGUUCUCCAAGUCCGUUGUGAAAGCCCCGGGCUCAACCUGGGAAUGGCAGUGGAAACUAGGGGACUGGAAUCUGGCAGAGGGGGGUGGAAUGCCGCGUGUAGCAGUGAAAUGCGUAGAGAUGCGGCGGAACACCGAUGGCGAAGGCAGCCCCCUGGGCUGAGAUUGACGCUCAGGCACGAAAGCGUGGGGAGCAAACAGG